CCAAAAAUAAAUAAGGAUUUCAUAAAAUACAGAAGUUUCAAACACUUUUAUCGGGAACAUGUUUUGCCAGAUUUCAAUGGGGAAAACUGCUAUAAUAAUAGAAAGCUCAGCAGAUGUGAAUACAGCAUAUGACACAUUUGAAACCACUUUCAUGGAGGUUAUAGACAAACAAAUACCUAUGAAAGAAAAAAAAAAACCAUCAACAAACCAGCACCAUUCAUGAAUCAAACUUUGCGAAGUUUAUUAUAUAUAUAAAAAAAAAGAGAAUGGCAUACAACAUGUACAACAAAUAUCAAAAUUUUAAAAAUAAAACAAAUUGGGAAUGUUACAGAAAACAAAGAAUUCUAGUUAACACAUUUGUUUUUAAAUUCAUCAGAAACUAUUUCAUGGAACGAUGUAUAGGAGGACCUAACAGCAAAGAUUUUGG
rnacentral:lncRNA from 1 species